UGGGCGAGUGAUGAAAUGGGGAGACAUAUAGCGUUCAGAACGCUAUGACCGCAAGGUCGUGUGGGUUCGAAUCCCACCUCGCCCAU
rnacentral:tRNA from 1 species